rnacentral:tRNA from 1 species
GGGGAUUUAGCUCAGCGGCAUAAGCACCUGCCUUGGAAGCAGGUGGUCGUGAGUUCGAUCCCCG